UCCUUUGAAGCAUAAUGGUGUGGCUUUGUUUAUAGGAUUAAUCUACAUAUUGUGCUUUACUAUUCGGCCCGGUAACAUAAUUUAUUGAUUAUUGAAAGAAGAGGUCUGUGAUUAUAAUGGUUUAUUCAUUCAAAUUUAUGUGUAUCGUCAUGUCUUGGUGUAUUUGGACCGUUAGUCAUUGGCAUAUGGUAGUUCUUUUAUGGUUCCUAUUUUUAAAUACCUCACUCUCGGUGUCCAUUUUAACCAUUUUGUUGAUACAUUUCAUGGUACAAUGAUGUUAUUUGAGGAAAAUGGACAUUUUUAAUCUAUACAUCUAGACUAUAUAUUGACCGACAAAACAAAUAAUUGUACUUUUUCACACAAUUUGAAAUGAUGUUCGGCCACAUUCACAUUUAGAAGCUUACCAUGUUCUACAAGUUGAGAUUAAUAGUAUAUAGUUUAAUAUAUGAUUUUAAUUUUGUCUAAUGCAAUUUUCUUCUCAAUAACUGCACUAUACAUUUAAAGAUGUAUUAGCAUUAGAACUUGACCUUCUCUAUCACAUAUUGAACUGAACGAAUUUCUUAUUUAUAUAUAGAAAUUCACGUGACAGUGUGUCAUGCUAGAUGAAGGGACUAAAAAACAUGUGCGCAGUGCUAUCACAAGUGGAAAUGGACUCUUUGUUCUAUUGAGACUGUAAAAACCACACCAAAUAUUGUGUGCAGUUGUCGGACCCAAAGAGGACAAACUACCAAGCUUGAUGAAGAAUUCAUUUUUGGUCUACCAUUGAAUCUGGAUGUUGUAUGUUAUCUAAUUACUUUCUAUCAUAAGAGUGAAUGCAAUUUGAUUAUGAACUAUAUAGCAAGUAAAUUCUAGAAUGCAAUUUGAUUAUGAACUAUAUAGCAAGUAAAUUAUAGAAAUAUCAAUUGCAAAACUUUAAAUAAGUCUAAUUCUUUAUAAUCAUUCACUUAUUUUUUAUUAAGGUCUUCAUUUCUAUAUGAAGUGUAGGCUCUACUUUCAGAUUGAUAAGUGAAUGAUUUGGAAAAUGCAUAACUUGAAACCAAAUGCCUUCUUCCCAAACGAAAUUGGCCAAAGUUGGUAAAGGAGAAAUAGUUGUUACAGCGCAUCAAUUGCGUUGAAGAUGUACAAGCUAAAACAUACUGGUAGCUUUUAUAAUUUAGUCCUUUUACAUUGGUAGAAAAUGUUUGAAUUUCUGGAAUUUGCAGCAUAUCAUUUAUGUCCAGCAAUUUCUGUAGUAAUUAUAAAUUGCUAUAAUUUUCAGGUGGGGUGCAACUUAAGGGUCCAGCUAUAGACACAGUCCUUGCAUUAAUGUAAUAUUUUCUUCAAAUUGGACAAGUGAUUGACCAAAUGCACAGUUUCAAAGGCUUUGAAAUAUUUCAUAUUAUUGGGCCUUUGCUUAGCAACACAAUCAGUGUGAUAUGUUUUUGUUCUAUAAAAAACAAGUAAUGGCAACAAACCAUUCGUUCCUCAAUCCAUCGUCAGCGGCAUCACUCCUUCAACCUACACAGUAACUUGAACAUGAUCGAAGGAAUGUGCAGCUUCAGCCUAUCCUUGGGAAAUAAACCUAAAUUGAAAGAGCAUAUGCAAUAAUGUGUUGGUCAUGCUGAGGAGAUUAAAAAGCUUGCUAAAGUUCACACUCAGCAUCUCUGUCUUCAAGUCAUUAAUUUUUCAAGUUUCAUGGUCCUCGCCCUGUCAGACGGAAUCGAGUUAAAGCGUAUUUAUAUAGUUUACCAUUGCUACGAAGGAAAAGAGUAUGAAAAGAUUUGGCUUCAUUUAUCAAGUAUAAAAGAUAUAUGAGUAAAUAUUCGUUGAAUCCAUUAUUGCAUGAUCCCCGUAGGAUCUACCUUUGAUGACUUGAGAGUGUUGACCACAUGGACUUUCGGAACAUAUUUUUUCUGCAGUGAUGUUGCUAUUCAACCAACAACCACGAUAAAAAGGGCAAUAACCAUUCGGACCAUGGAUUCAAAUUGCGGUCCACGUCCGCAAUUGUGCCGCAAUAUUGCUUAUGGUAGCCUUUACAGUUGCAUCACACUGCAAUUGCAGCGUGAUUUUCAAUCCCGUGUGCGGCCACAUCAAGAAUUGCAUCAGACGAUUUCAACUAUAUUUGUUCAAAUUUUCUCACAAAAAUUUAAAUUUUAGUACUCAAAUUUCAAUCAACUUUAGAUCUAAUGAAAAAAUUUACAUUUGACGGUUUCUCAACUUUGUAUUUCAAGCACCUUUCAAUUAGUAUUUACGAAGUAAACUAAAAUUGUGCUAUAUAUGUGAGGAAAUAGUGUAU